rnacentral:tRNA from 1 species
AAAGAUUUUGAAAAAAGAAGCUGCUAACUAUCUUUUAAAGCAAAUAUUUGUUUAAUCUUUA